GUGUUUGCUUGACCAGCACUUACACUAAGAUGGAAUGAUACAGAAAAGGCUAGCACGGCCCUGUAUGAGAAUGAUACUCAUUUUUGCCACAUUUGUGUUGUUUUU
ensembl:snRNA U6 U6 spliceosomal RNA